AUAUUCAUUACAGAAGUAUCUCUUCUCAAAAUCAAAAUAAAAGGCAGUAAAAACUCAAGUGUAGAUUUCUGAGCUGAAGGAACAACUGAAGAAGCUCUUCUUUAAUUGCAGUGGCAGCACUUGUUCCAAUCUUCUCAAAUGUUCAGCCAAUUCCACAUCAAAGAUAUUAGAUCAGAUCACAUUAUCAAUGAGAAGCUUCCUGUGUGACACGUUUCACUUCCUCACCUGUAAUCUGCCUACCCUGCUCACCAAAAGCAGUCUAACUGCAGCAUCACAGAUCCCAGUGGUAUGUCAUUUACUCCUAAGAGGGGCACACUUUGUCAUGUUUGGCACACAGCACGGGAGGAAGGAGCAGGAGCUGGACUCAGUCAGCUGCAACUGAGAACCAGAACGUAAUGUGAGAAGUUGCCUGCUGAGCAGCUGAUCUCACAGGUAGGCCUGGCAGAGUCGUGCCUUGCUUCCUAUUUAACUCACACCCAGGAAGCCUGAAUGAUCUGGAGUGCUGUCAUCAGGAUGUAUAAACGAAAGCAGGACAAUUAAAGUGGGGGCUGGCACGGGAUGGGGUGCAUAAGGGCCCAGAGCUUCUACUCACUGUUGCUGUAGCUGGUGCAGAGUGGUGAUGAGGUGCCAAGGGACGGUGUCCCCUGCAGAUGGGGGAUGUUAUCUUCUGCACUCUAUGGCGCAUAGGAGACCUGAAGCCAGACUUCACUUCCAGGGAGUGCCAGGGUGUGGCAGACUAUAGAAAUUUUUAUUUCUGAGGGUGUAUAUGUACACAAUGCUAAAGGAAGUACCCUGUUUCCCCAAAAAUAAGACAGGGUAUUAUAUUAAUUGUUAUUCCAAUUCUUAUUACUUUUUUACAUAUAUAACUGCCUGGACACUAUUUAAAUUGACUUUUUUUUUUUUUUAAUAAACUGUAACUAGGGCUUAUUUUUGGAGUAGGGCUUAUAUUUCAAGUAUCCUCAAAAAUCCUGAAAAAUUAUGCUAGGGCUUAUUAUCAGGGUAGGUCUAAUUUUCAGGGAAACAGGAUAUAUCAGCUACUAUAUAUACUUACUUUAAAUUUAGAUUUAAGAUGAAUCAUUUGGAACUUCAAGGGCUCUCCUGAAGCAUGAAGACCAGCCCCAGCUGCUAUAGAAAGCAACUGCUUCAUCAUAAUUCCUUUAACUAACUUCAAGCUAGAGCUUAAUCAGUUUAUUAAGUUUGAAUUUCCAACUCUGCCAGUGUCACUUCUCUGAUAGUAUAGAGGUGUCAUAAUUUACAACCUAAUUUACUUUAUAGACAGUUUAUAUUAGUCAUGUUCUUGUGUCAACAUUGUCCUUUACCUUAAGUAGGGCUUUUUACUUUUUUCUCCUGAACAUCAUGUAUGUAUUGUAGGUUAUGGAAAAGUGAUUUAUUUCCUCAUUUAGAUCUUCUUUUACCUUUUGUUUUGCUGGUAAAAUAAGGAAAUCCAUUUUUCUUGUUCAAAAUAAGCAUUGUUUUCCCAACAUGUUCCUAGAAACAUUAUUGUGUCAAUCUACUUCAGUAUGAACAAAUGUUUUUGCGGACAUGGGUGGCCAGUACUGUAUACAUCAUCAAUGCUUUCUACAUAAACAUUUUUUUUUCACUCAUCUCUUCUGAAAGUGCCUUUCCUGGAUGCAUCCAAUGCAAAAAUAUUUUGGAUUCCAGACUAUCAUCUAGCAGUCUUGCUACCUUACCAGUGUUCUGCAACAUGCCUACCACUCUUCUUGAUUUCUUAUCUAAAAUGUAGUUAUUGAAAAGUAGAGUAUCAAACGGAUUGCUGUGGAAACUUGCCAUUUUCAUUGAUAAUCACUGUCUGAAUGUAGCUUUCCUACCAGCUUUGCACUCAUUCUUUCUGAAAACUAGACCCUGCUUCCUAAAUUUGUUUAUGAAAUGUCAUGUCAAACGAUGUCAAAAGCCUUACUAACACCAAGAUAUUUGUCAUCCACCGUUCUUCCUUCACAAUGCCUGUUACCCUGCUACAAAAGCGAGAAAGAGUGGUCUGACACUACCUGGUUUUGGCAGAUACGUGUACACUCUUACUCAUCACCUUGUGCUCUUGUAGGGGUUCACCAAACUGUUUCAUUGUUUAUGCCAGUACUUUUUCUAGGAGAUGAACUUCAGCUACUUUUCACAGGUGAGCAGUGCAUUUUUGCUUUUCAUGUUACUGUUGAAAGUUGCAAAAACAUUAAAUACAGUUUCUAUUUCAUCUUUACUGACAUUAAGGAAAAGAAUUAGCAGCCAGAACAGAUACAUUUAGAACCUGAUGCAAAACUACCUCCCUGAUAACAGUAGGUUGUAGGAGAGAGAAGUUCAAAAAAACCCAAAAGAUUUAUUCAAGGAUGGAGACUUCAGAAAUUAGGAGUAUGGCAAAAUGUUAUUUUCCUCAAAAUUACUAUCCAGAAAGAUUUUGCAGCAGAACAUCAUUGUUUCAAAGUGAGUGCCAGAAUCUUAUGCAUACAAGAUACAAUCAGUGCAACUUUAAAAAUGCUAACUAUAAAUGCAAAUGUUAACAGUGUCAGGGCAAGACUGACAAAACUUAAUGUUAUUACUCAAAGACCUGAAAUUUGAGCAAUACGUUAGAGAGUGCAAUGUAAAAAUAUUCUUACAUUCAAUAUAAGACACAGUGGGCAAACGCACAUGUUGCAGAUUGUUAAUCACAAAGUCCUGAGAAGAAGUCAUCAGAAAUGGAUAGGAAAUCUGACACAGUCAUACAGUUGUGGAGACUUACCUCUUGCUUCACAGAGGUGAGAGGCGAUGGGUGAGGCUUAUUGCAGUACACCCAUAUCAAGCCAGUCAACAACUGCUGUAUUCACUGGAAAACAGACUGCUAGAGUACAGUGCAGAUGAAAAUUUAGAAAAACAGAUAACAGGAUCAAGAGCUUUCUGAAACGUCUCUGUGGACUCAUAACUCAAAAUGCUCUGGAAAGUGAAUUGAGGUCGUUUUAUUCAGAGAACUAACAACUAUAUAUAACAAAUUUUAGAGCAGCUAAAAUCCACCUUUCAACUCCCAGUCUUAGGAUUGUUAUAUUUUAUGUUAACGAUUUACUGCAUAAAAUCCACAAAGAAGGUUAGGUAGGAAUUAGGAUCCACGAUUCACUAUCAAUUCACUAAUGAGAUAAUUCAAACUACUUGCCUACCAACUCAUACUCUCUCUCACUCAGUGAAUUUUAAAUUAAUUUAUCUGCUCAUGGUGUUGCAAAAGGAGAACUCACAUUUAAUCCUUAUAUCACAGCCAUAGACUCAAUGUUGAAUUUUCUUCCUAAGGAGGAAAAGCUGAGUUUGCUAUUUCUUGAGGAGAUGAACUAGUCACAGUCAUCUAUGAAAAGCUGAUGCCAUAAAGACAAUUUUUAUGUAAAGCACUGGCUGCAAUUGUAUCCACAUUUAUUGCUUGUGCCCAGAGCAUGUUCAAUAAAUCAAUUCCCUCAAGAAGACCGGGCAUAUAAUGCUGAUCAGGAUUAGGUACAAGGUAAAUUGUUGUGCUGUACACAGAGGGGUUUAGGGAGCUUGAAGCUGAUGGCAGCUGAAGAGAGGUUUUCUUGUUUGUAGUUUGUGUUUAUCAUUGUGAUUACACUUUAAAAGUCGUAUUCUGUGUAACCUUUAGUGAAAAUAAUUUAACUUUCAUUUACGUCUCCUACAUGUAAACUGUUUAAGGCUGCCUACAAACAACAAGAGUUCACCAGUCUUGAUGUAAGAUUGCUGUUGUGCUAAAAAAAUCAUUUAGAUCAGCUGUGUUUGUGUGACGGUACCAGUAACUGCAGUAGGGCAGCAGCUUCAGGGGUCCAUAAGUCCAGGUGCCAGCAACUGGAGAGACUGGGAUCCAGGGGCAGGUGCUGAGCAGAGUGAGUAAACGCAGCUGCUGGAGAGACACAGACUGUACACAUGUAUAAAUAUUUCUCACUCCUGGACUUGACCUCCAGAAAGAGGAACAGGAUGAGGGUGUUGGUGUUCCUGUGCUUGUCUGGGUGCUCUGUGUGUCUGCCUGAUCUGUGGUUGACCAUGUAUAUGUAUAUGCGCAUAUGUGUAUAUAUGUUUAUACGUAUGUAUGUAUACACGCAGGUAUCUGUAGUAUAAAUAUGUGUUCUGUGUGUGCACACCUGCUGGGAACACAUCUUCAGCCUUGCCACUGUUUGGACCUGAAGACAUGGACUGGACGCAGCCUCGCCCCUCAGGCUGUUGGAUCCAACAUCUGUUUUCCUCUAACAGUUCCAAAACUUAAAUUUCUCUUAGAAGUUCCUUACCAAAAAAAAAAAAAAAAAAAAAAGUAAGGAAAAUAUUAUAAUGAAAUAGUGUUUAUUGCUUGUUUGUUUAAAUUGUUUUUCUUUUUAAUAAGUCAGUUAAUUGUGGCUACAUUGCUUGUCUGACCAUGGCGUUCCCUAAGGCAAAGAAAAUAAGCUAAUGUAGCUAAAAUAAUGGUGCCUCAACCCUGGAUUUGCAUUAACAGAGAGUUGUAAAAUACGUUUUAUUCAUUUUUUUUCCAGACCAGUAAUUUUUGAAACCAACUAUUACUUGGCACCCAACAAAAACAUAUCAGCUGUUUCUUUCAAGACCAUCUUAAGCACCAUCAGUGCCUUUGUAAUGCAAGAAGGGGGAGAAACAGUCCUCCAUUUAGUUAAUUUUUCAGCUGCAUUAGUCAGUUGCACUUGUAGAGAUUUCUUAUUGAAAAAGAAAACUAAUAGCAUUUUUUUCUUUGAAUUGUGUUAAUGAAAUAUUAGAUUUUGCUAAAUUUUUGAUGUUAUUUUUUUCAGUGUUGCACAGAAAUAAUAGAAUUAAAGUAAAAGUCAGAUAAUUUGAUAGUCUACUUCUACUAUUUUGAAAUAUUAAUAUAUUGUUGUUGAACUAUUAUAUGUAAUUUGAUUUUUUUUUUCUCCCAGUAGAGGAAGGAAAAUUAUUACAAUAUAUUGCACUGUAACUGAAAUAUUGCAGGUCAUUUUUAUCAUUUAUGCCACCAUUUUAACUUGUACAUGCUAUGAUCACAAUAGAUUAUAUGAGAAGAGCAGAGACUUCAUGGAAACCUUUGAGCAUAUUCGGAUCUCAAGAGUGUCACAAAAAAUUUGGAAGUCCAAGAGAACCAGUUGUGUAACAAGAGCUCAAGGAACAGUAUAUUAUUAGAAUAACAGAUAAAAUAUUGAAUAUUCAAAGCACAAAUCUGAAUCUCAAAAAUAUACCAUAUGAUCCUGGUGUAUCCCAGGAGGUGGAUCUGAGCUGGUGCCCAUGGAGCCAGGCUGAGAAGUUUUGUGACACACUCCCCACUGCAUCUGAUUCCUGAAGAGUUUAUGAGAUUUGACAGAGUUCCACAAAACUGGAUAGAUGAAGACUGCCAUGAUCACAAGGUGCUCUGCUUGAACAAAUGAGUCUUCGCAGAACUGAUCAGGCCAAGUACUUAACCUCUGAGCCUACAGACAGUCCCAUGAGCACUCUGGAGGUGGAGAAGACAGGGUGAAGGGCAGUGCAACUCUGCAAAAUCAUGGUAUUGUAGGCUCUGCAGGUGAAAUUCUCCUUUACAGACAAUGGGAGCAGCUUGAAAUAAACCUGACCAAUAAUUUUGACUGCAUCUUAUUACCUCAUAUUGUGCCUAUUUUUCUUCAUUAACUAAAGAAGUGGCUUGUUACAAUCUGCUCACCUUGGAUUACUGGAUUUAUGUGGGAGGAAUCCCAUUCUUGGAAUCCUGCAGAGGUACUGAAAGACUGUAUCAAGGACCAGUAUGCUUGCAUUGGGUACAUGCCCAGAGAUACGAAUGGCAAUUAACAGAAGGCUGAGGAAAGAAAAAGCAUGAAACUGUUGCUUGUGCUGCACUGUCAGCAGCAAGAUGACCAAAGAUAUGAAUGAAGUAUGAUGCCACCAGACGAGCUUCUAUGGAUUUUUCUUUGCAAAAUGAAGGAUGAUCAAUACCUCACAUCUUGAUCAGCAUCACAGUAUAAGACUGCAUGGCUGUUGCAGAAGAGAUGGCAAAUAUUCCAUAACUAGCAUGAGAGGUGAUUCAGCGCAGGCUGGAGUGAUGAAAACUGCCAUCCAAGGUGGAAAAAGCACAUUUUGAUAGCUGUGAUGGCUGUGUGGAAACCAAGUGUCAGAGCAGUAAAACAGCCCUGGAACCACAAAGGAAGAGAAAGAAGUCAAGAACAAUCACAACACUCAUUGAAAGUACAGAAGGUAUCCCAGCAACUUGCAAUCCAGAGGAUGGAGUCUGCAUCACUACCUGAUUCUCCAGGUGACUUGAAUUCCAGUUUACUGCCUUAGCCCAAGAAAGAAGAAAUAUGAAUACAAGAUUAUGUGCUUUUGGUCUGUAACUUAUUUAGCACUCUCCCUUUGGACAUGGUCUGGAAUCUUUUCCCUGUGAAAACAAUAAACAGUCUCUGAAAGAAGCUGUUACUUGAAAUUCAGACCUAACUGGAAGAAACUCAAGACAAUUCAGAGAAAGGAAGUCUGAGUUUUGCUGACAUAAUGAAAAAAAUAUUUUCAGGCAUUAACAAUGUGGAUGCUUGUAAAAUGAUCAGUUUGGGUCAUUCUAGGAAAUAUUUUACUGACUUAAAAUCUUAUCUUACAGACUAGGAACAUAUGCAUGUGUUCCUUAGAUGACAAAGGUGAAAAAAUAGAAGUCCUCACACUGGAUCUGCACCAGAAAAAAACAGCACAAAACCACAUCUGAAGUAGUGAUUUUCAGGGUCUGAGUUAAAAGGAAAAGACCUAACCUUCUCAGUAGCUAAGUGUACUAUGUUGAUUGCCCAGAUGAUUCAGGCAGCAGUCAUCUGUGGCUCUGCCUAUCUAUGCAGUUACCUGCACAGUAUUGUGAGUGUACUGAGUCUCCAGGUUCAGCUCUGCAACAACAGACAAAGACAACUGCGCAGUGUAAAUGUUACCAAAUUCAACCUGCAGCCCUCAGUGAAAAUCCCAUGGUCACAAAUCUUGGCUGCUAAUGUUGAAAUGGUCCCAGUCAAAAGAAAAAUGGUGUUGCUGUUCUCCUUUCUUACCAAGGUAAAUAAUACAUUAUACCUUCAACCUCACAUACUGUGACUCGAUGAAGGACUCAUAGACAGUGCUCUCUCCUCAGUGCUGGCAAAGGAAGCGAUUCACAUGUCCACAACUGGAAGAGGGAGACCACGAGACAUAUUAAAAAAAAAAUGUAUUGUUCUAUAGUUUUCUUAUAUGGGACAUGGGAAUCAAUUCCAUAAUGAGAGUUACAGCCCUUUAUGAUACCACUCCCAUUUUUACUUAUUGGCUUAUCCUUCCCCCUGAUUCAUAUUGCACAUCACUGAUAUCUCUGAAGAGUUACAAACUCACAUUUGUGUAUCCCAAGAGAAGGAAAGAUGGACACUGUGAGGAGGACCAAGUGGUUUGAUUACUAGUAGACAAGUAUAGAAACUGAAUCCUGCCUUUUACAGUGGAGAGAUGUUAUGUUGCUUCUGAUCAUUUAUCAACACCAAACAUUGAUCAAUAUCAACAACUAUCAACACUAAAGCACUUGGGAAGUAGAUGAUGCAGGUUCACUCACAAGCAAAACAGCUAAAAUAACGAGAUAGUCUAGAAUAGAUCUCCAUCAAUAAAGGUUUGUAUUUUGCAUAGUUCCCUACCAUUGUGCUAUUAUUAAACACUGUUUCAAUUUUAUUGAUUUUUUUUUCCUGAUUUGUCUUAUUAAACUGCUCAUUGAUGGUCUUGUAGUCCCUAAUUUUAAAACAGCUUGAAAGUUACUUGCCAUGCAACAAACUGUGUUUCCAAAUUCUCAGGUUGUAUUACUCAUGCAUAUAGAAACUUCCUGGCUGGUAUCAAAUCAGCUCUCAUAUAUAUAAAUAAAUAUACAUGCAUGUGUGUAAAUAUAUGGCUGUGAGAGAUUAUUUGGAUAUAUCUGUGCAUAUUUCUAUAUUUAAUUUUUAGUUUAACGCAACUCAGUUACUAUUGAAAGUAUCAUUGCCAACUUAAAGGAACAGCUGAAUGUACCAGUGAAGGCUGGACAUUCAAGACCAUAUAUAACUUAUGUUUUUUCUCUGUGAUCAUGUAGAGAAAGUAGAAGAGAGGAAGCAGAGGAGAGAAAGCACUUUUUUAUCUUCAUUCAAUAGUGAGAAUGUCAGAGACGAGGAUGGUUAUAUGAAAAUAUACUUUUUUUCCCAGAGUAAAAGAGAAACAAACCUGUUUUACUGAUAAAACAGCACCAUUUUCUGUGUUUUGCAAUGUAACAUGACAUGAAAAAUAUAAAAUUUACUGGUCUAGUUCAACUGCUUUCUUUUAUGACAGACAACCAUGGAACAAGCCUACAUGAACGUUGCAUUACCUAUUGCAAGAAACCUUUAGGAUUGCUAAUUUAGUUGCUACUUCACUUGUUAAUCAGAAAGCUGGGUUACAGCACACGUAAGUUGCAAUGAUGGGUGAGCUGUUCUGCCAAAGAGAGGAAGAUAACGAAAUGCCCAAAGUCACUGGUAUAAAUACCAUAGAGGUACAAAACCUCCUUGAUUGGGAGCUCAUCCCGAAAGGUAAUAGAGACUAGAUCUGCGAUCCAGGACAUGAGGAAUAAACAGUCCAGAUAUAUACCCUAAAGAAAAUCUCACUGAGUGAGAGUGGAGCCUUUCUCAGGAGGGCGGGUAUGUUCAAAAAUUAGUAAUCCAAAUAACUUCUACAAAAGAAAAGGCAAUAUAGUACAUGUUUUACCUUUUUAAAGUUUCUUUAGAGAUCAUGCAACUUCCCUUUACAUCCUUUUUAUAAUAUCUUCCCCUCUAGAGAGGGAGAUAUGGUGAAUGUCUGUAGGCUGAAAGAAAAUAAAUGCCAUUUGAAGUAGAAUUUUAUUUUAACAACAUACACUAUCUAUCAAAGGUACAUUCACAAAAAGGAGAAAAACAUAAGCAAGCAAAUAAUAUUCCCAAAUGCCUACUUUUUACAAUGCAGAUAGAAUUUAUGGCAACAUAAAUCUAUGCAGUAGAAACAUAAAUUAUACACAUAGUGCCCAAUAUCAAAGCUUUUAGAGAAGACAUAUAGGAAAUUUGGAAUGAACUAUUUAGUAAUUGGUCAUUCAAACUAUAUAAAUUUUAGGAAAAAAAAAAUACAUCUGAUGUAAUCAAAACUAAUACCCCUUGAUUUUCCAGUCCAAGAUCCUGGCUCAGAAAAAGUUAUUUUCAUACUUGGAUUUCUUUACUUAAUGUAGUGGUGGAAAGAUAUGAAAGUGGUCUGCUGCUGGCUAAGGAUGUUCUGGGUUUGGGGAUUUUCUUGGCCUGGAAGUGGACAGAGGUGAUGGUACAGAUUGUGGCUGGUACUAGUAUGGACUUCCAUUUGUUGUCUGACAUACCUUUUAUGUACAAAAACAUAAUGUAUGGAUAGCUCGGUGUUUGUUUGCUGUAAUAAUUACUUGCACUGAGUAUUUAGUUUUCAUAAUUAUUUUCAUUGUAUUCAUUACUCCUGAAUAAAUUUUUAUUUUGUGAACAUAACAAUCUGUUUACUUUGUAUUUCAAGGCAGGCACACACCCUUCCAAAUAAGUACCAGCCUUAAGAAACAUUUGUUUAAAGUUGCCAUCACUCCAUUUAUAAAAAUCACAGUUUAACAAAGAGCAAAUGCUUGUGUGAUUACGGCAAACUCUCCAGAUGUGCUUCUUUGAGCUGCACCAGAGCAGAGAUUCUUUCAUGAUCUCAUGUUGCUUCUAUCCUCUUCACUAACAUAUUUUGCUUUGUAACUAUUGUAGAAAAUAAAA